UACGAAGGGGGCUAGCGUUGUUCGGAAUUACUGGGCGUAAAGCGCACGUAGGCGGAUAUUUAAGUCAGGGGUGAAAUCCCAGAGCUCAACUCUGGAACUGCCUUUGAUACUGGGUAUCUUGAGUAUGGAAGAGGUAAGUGGAACUGCGAGUGUAGAGGUGAAAUUCGUAGAUAUUCGCAAGAACACCAGUGGCGAAGGCGGCUUACUGGACCGGUUCUGACGCUGAGGCGCGAAAGCGUGGGGAGCAAACAGG
rnacentral:rRNA from 1 species